AUGAGGGGAGAACACCAGUCCGGUGUUUUAUGGGAUACUAGAGGAACCAGAGAACGAGCUGAACUUGACCAAGGAAAAGGGAAGAAAACUGACACCAACUCUGGGAACCCAAAACCUAAACAGGACGGGAUGGCUGACAGCAGGUCUUUGGGAAGAGAGGGUAGUGUUUCGCCAAGACAUCUGACAAGAAGUCAGAGAAGUACUGACAGGGCACCACCACAUGGUGAGGAAGAUGAGGAGGAGGAAAAGAAAACUGUAGGUAGCCAAGCCAGAAAUCUCUGUGUAGCUCCCCCUCUGCAGGGCAAACCCUCCCGACCUGCGACCCGCCAUAACGGAGACCUCGAGUCUGUCUUUGAUGAUAGUACUUUAAGUGAGCUGUCGGAAGAGGACAGGAGGUAUACAUGCAGUAUUUACAUGCUUUUAAAUUUAAUGAAUCAUUUACAGCUCAAUUUUAUAUGUUGCAGUGUUGCAGCAGCAAUAUGUUAAGUAUAACCUGGCCUGCACAGAAUCUGUGCCCGCAGAACUCUACCAAAUUUGAACACUUGUAAAAUUUAUACCUGCAAUGCUUACACCAACAAUCAGUGCAGAAUAAAUUAAAACAAAAAAAAAGUGGGCA
ensembl:lncRNA